UACGUAGGGUGCAAGCGUUGUCCGGAAUUAUUGGGCGUAAAGAGCUCGUAGGCGGUCUGUCGCGUCGGCUGUGAAAACCCGGGGCUCAACCCCGGGCCUGCAGUCGAUACGGGCAGACUAGAGUGCGGUAGGGGAGACUGGAAUUCCUGGUGUAGCGGUGAAAUGCGCAGAUAUCAGGAGGAACACCGACGGCGUAGGCAGCGCCCUAGACGAGACCUGACGCUCAGGCACGAAAGCGCGGGGAGCGAACAGG
rnacentral:rRNA from 1 species